GGGUCGGGGUUUCGUACGUAGCAGAG
rnacentral:piRNA from 9 species